rnacentral:rRNA from 1 species
AUUGAACGCUGGCGGCAGGCCUAACACAUGCAAGUCGAACGGUAACAGGAAACAGCUUGCUGUUUCGCUGACGAGUGGCGGACGGGUGAGUAAUGUCUGGGAAACUGCCUGAUGGAGGGGGAUAACUACUGGAAACGGUAGCUAAUACCGCAUAACGUCGCAAGACCAAAGAGGGGGACCUUCGGGCCUCUUGCCAUCGGAUGUGCCCAGAUGGGAUUAGCUAGUAGGUGGGGUAACGGCUCACCUAGGCGACGAUCCCUAGCUGGUCUGAGAGGAUGACCAGCCACACUGGAACUGAGACACGGUCCAGACUCCUACGGGAGGCAGCAGUGGGGAAUAUUGCACAAUGGGCGCAAGCCUGAUGCAGCCAUGCCGCGUGUAUGAAGAAGGCCUUCGGGUUGUAAAGUACUUUCAGCGGGGAUGAAGGGAGUAAAGUUAAUACCUUUGCUUAUUGACGUUACCCGCAGAAGAAGCACCGGCUAACUCCGUG